UACGAAGGGGGCUAGCGUUGCUCGGAAUACUGGGCGUAAAGCGUGCGCAGGCGGUUUUGUAAGUCUGUCGUGAAAUCCCCGGGCUCAACCUGGGAAUUGCGAUGGAGACUGCAAGGCUAGAAUCUGGCAGAGGGGGGUAGAAUUCCACGUGUAGCAGUGAAAUGCGUAGAGAUGUGGAGGAACACCGGAUGGCGAAGGCAGCCCCCUGGGUCAAGAUUGACGCUCAUGCACGAAAGCGUGGGGAGCAAACAGG
rnacentral:rRNA from 1 species